rnacentral:rRNA from 1 species
AGUGAACGCUGGCGGUAGGCCUAACACAUGCAAGUCGAACGGCAGCACAGUAAGAGCUUGCUCUUACGGGUGGCGAGUGGCGGACGGGUGAGGAAUACAUCGGAAUCUACUUUUUCGUGGGGGAUAACGUAGGGAAACUUACGCUAAUACCGCAUACGACCUACGGGUGAAAGCAGGGGAUCUUCGGACCUUGCGCGAUUGAAUGAGCCGAUGUCGGAUUAGCUAGUUGGCGGGGUAAAGGCCCACCAAGGCGACGAUCCGUAGCUGGUCUGAGAGGAUGAGCAGCCACACUGGAACGGAGAGACGGUCCAGACUCCUAAGGGAGGCCGCAGUGGGGAAUAUUGGACAAUGGGCGCAAGCCUGAUCCAGCCAUACCGCGUGGGUGAAGAAGGCCUUCGGGUUGUAAAGCCCUUUUGUUGGGAAAGAAAAGCAGCAGGUUAAUACCCCGCUGUUCUGACGGUACCCAAAGAAUAAGCACCGGCUAACUUCGUG